rnacentral:rRNA from 1 species
CCUACGUGUGGCAGCAGUGGGGAAUAUUGCACAAUGGGGGAAACCCUGAUGCAGCAACGCCGCGUGAGUGAAGAAGUAUUUCGGUGUGUAAAGCUCUAUCAGCAGUGAAGAAGAUGACGGUACCUGAUUCAGAAGCCCCGGCUAACUACGUGCCAGCAGCCGCGGUAAUCCGUAGGGGUCAAGCGUGAUCCGGAUUUACUGGGUGUAAAGGGAGCGCAGACUGCAGUACAAGUCUGGAGUGAAAGCCCGGGGCGCAACACCGGAACUGCUAUGGAACCUGUGCGGCUGGAGUACUUGAGGGGCAGGAGGAAUUCCUAGUGUAGCGGUGAAAUGCGGAGAUAUUAGGAGGAACACCAGUGGCGAAGGCGGCCUGCUGGACAGUAACUGACGUUGAGGCUCGAAGGCGUGGGGAGCAAACAGGAUUAGAUACCCGAGUAGUC